CAAGUCGAACGAAUCCCUUGGGGGUAACUCUGAGGGGGAAGUGGCGAAAGGGGCAGUAAGGCGUGGGUAACUUGCCCCGGGGCCUGGAAUAGCCAUCCUAACGGAUGGGUAAUACCAGAUGUCCUGACGGGACGGCAUCGGUCUGUCAGGAAAGAUUCAUCACCCCGGGAGAGGCUCACGUAGUAUUAGCUAGUUGGUGAGGUAACGGCUCACCAAGGCCAAGAUGCUUAGCAGGUGUGAGAGCACGACCUGCGCCACUGGCACUGAGACACUGGCCAGACUCCUACGGGAGGCUGCAGUCGAGGAUCUUCGGCAAUGGGCGCAAGCCUGACCGAGCGACGCCGCGUGUGCGAUGAAGGCCUUCGGGUUGUAAAGCACUGUCGGGGGGGAGAAAAGGGCAACCUUGAUCGACCCCCGGAGGAAGCACGGGCUAAGUUCGUGCCAGCAGCCGCGGUAAGACGAACCGUGCGAACGUUGUUCGGAAUCACUGGGCUUAAAGGGCGCGUAGGCGGGUGGUCAAGUCAGAGGUGAAAUCCCACGGCUCAACCGUGGAAGUGCCCCUGAUACUGGCCGUCUUGAGGGAGGUAGGGGCGUGCGGAACUUCCGGUGGAGCGGUGAAAUGCGUAGAUAUCGGAAGGAACACCGGUGGCGAAAGCGGCGCGCUGGACCUCUUCUGACGCUGAGGCGCGAAAGCCAGGGGAGCAAACGGGAUUAGAUACCCCGGUAGUCCUGGCCCUAAACGUUGGGUACUA
rnacentral:rRNA from 1 species